GCCUGGCUGGCUCAGCCAGUAGAGUAUGUGACUCUUGAUCUCGGGGUCGUGAGUUUAAGCCCUGCGUUGGGCA
rnacentral:tRNA from 1 species